rnacentral:rRNA from 1 species
UGAGUCGAGCGGAGAGGGAGCUUGCUCUGAUUCAGCGGCGGACGGGUGAGUAAUGCCUAGGAAUCUGCCUGGUAGUGGGGGACAACGUUUCGAAAGGAACGCUAAUACCGCAUACGUCCUACGGGAGAAAGCAGGGGACCUUCGGGCCUUGCGCUAUCAGAUGAGCCUAGGUCGGAUUAGCUAGUUGGUGAGGUAAUGGCUCACCAAGGCGACGAUCCGUAACUGGUCUGAGAGGAUGAUCAGUCACACUGGAACUGAGACACGGUCCAGACUCCUACGGGAGGCAGCAGUGGGGAAUAUUGGACAAUGGGCGAAAGCCUGAUCCAGCCAUGCCGCGUGUGUGAAGAAGGUCUUCGGAUUGUAAAGCACUUUAAGUUGGGAGGAAGGGCAGUAAGCUAAUACCUUGCUGUUUUGACGUUACCGACAGAAUAAGCACCGGCUAACUCUGUGCCAGCAGCCGCGGUAAUACAGAGGGUGCAAGCGUUAAUCGGAAUUACUGGGCGUAAAGCGCGCGUAGGUGGUUCGUUAAGUUGGAUGUGAAAGCCCCGGGCUCAACCUGGGAACUGCAUCCAAAACUGGCGAGCUAGAGUACGGUAGAGGGUGGUGGAAUUUCCUGUGUAGCGGUGAAAUGCGUAGAUAUAGGAAGGAACACCAGUGGCGAAGGCGACCACCUGGACUGAUACUGACACUGAGGUGCGAAAGCGUGGGAGCAAACAGGAUUAGAUACCCUGGUAGUCCACGCCGUAAACGAUGUCACUAGCCUUGGAAUCCUUGAGAUUUUAGUGCGCAGCUAACGCAUAAGUUGACGCCUGGGGAGUACGGCCGCAAGGUAAAACUCAAAUGAAUUGACGGGGGCCCGCACAAGCGGUGGACAGUGUUUAAUUCAAGCAACGCAAAACUUACCCCUUGACUGCAAAAUUUCCAAGAUUGGGCCUUCGGGAACUCUGACCCUGCAUGGUGUCGCCUCGCGAGGAUCUCCCCCGGGGUCAGGAAUCUG